GUAUCUCUCUUUUCACUACUUUCAAGAGUACUACCAAUCGCCCUGGGAUUCACUCCGGUGAAGAGUCGACCAAAGAUGAGAAAAAUGCUAUUGAAAAAUCGCCACAAUAAUAGGGAUUUUCCGGUGUAGAAUGAUUGCUCUCACAGGAUUUAUUGGUGGAGACCGCGACAGAGCAGGAUGGCUCAGUCAGUAAUAUCACCGUGCAGCCCACAGUUUUUCAGGCAUUGACACUAGCAGUACGUAAAGA